UUUUGAAAAUGGUCAACUCUAGAAGUGUGUUACUGCUGGUCUGCACAGUCUUGGUGGUUGGGGCCAUCUGUGGAUCAGACGUUUUAAACUUCUAAUCAGCUCGCCAAGAUGGAAAGAGACGACCGUGCUGCGUUGCAGUCACCAACCUCGAUAUGAGUGCUGAGGUGGUGGGGAAACAUAUCGUCAGCAGGCCGCAACACCACCCUGUGUGAAGGCUAUAAUUUUCAACACAGAACAUGGACCGCUUUGUGCUGAUCCAAACGCUCAGUGGGUCAAAGAUCUCAUUGCGAGCAUGACGAGGGUAUGAAGUACAAAGUGUGAGGUGAAGCAUCGCUGCCUGUCGGCUCAUCAGUAUCUCCUCAUGAAUUUUAUUCGAACUUUUCUUUGAAAUGUUUUUAUUACUUUACUCUUUUAAUUCUGUUCUUGUUCUUAUAUGACUUUAUAGUGACGACUAAUAAUGGACGUGAAUCUAUGCUUACACGAACCAACUGAUUUUCUUUUUUUUUUUAAGUUUAGUUACAUAUUUAGUUUCAAAUCUUCUUUUAUUCUUUAUUUUUUGCUUUUAUGAUUCCAUUUAUCUGUGUAUAUCAUGAUGUUUUGUAAAGCUGACUCUGACAAAUGAUAUCCAAAUGAACUUUGACCACCAGUCAUUCAA